GGUCAUAUCACGUCGAAACGCCUGUUCUUGUACGAUCACCGAAUUUAAGUAAUGUUGAGUUUGGUCAGUACUUAGAUGGGUGACCACUUGGGAAUACCAGGUGCUGUAAG